CGCGGCCUAUCAGCUUGUUGGCGGGGUAACGGCCCACCAAGGCGACGACGGGUAGCUGGUCUGAGAGGAUGGCCAGCCACAUUGGGACUGAGAGACGGCCCAGACUCCUACGGGAGGCAGCAGUGGGGAAUCUUGCGCAAUGGCCGAAAGGCUGACGCAGCGACGCCGCGUGUGGGAUGAAGCAUUUCGGUGUGUAAACCACUGUUGCCCGGGACGAACAGCUUCUUUCGAGGAGCCUGACGGUACCGGGUGAGGAAGCACCGGCUAACUCCGUGCCAGCAGCCGCGGUAAUACGGAAGGUGCGAGCGUUGUCCGGAAUCACUGGGCGUAAAGGGCGCGUAGGUGGCGCGACAAGUCAACGGUGAAAGCCCGGGGCUCAACCCCGGGUCGGCCGUCGAUACUGUUGGGCUUGAGCACCGUAGAGGCAGAUGGAAUUCCGGGUGUAGCGGUGGAAUGCGUAGAGAUCCGGAAGAACACCGGUGGCGAAGGCGGUCUGCUGGGCAGUAGCUGACACUGAUGCGCGACAGCGUGGGGAGCAAACAGGAUUAGAUACCCUGGUAGUCCACGCCGUAAACGAUGGGUACUAGAUGCUUGGGGGAGCGACCCUCUGAGUGUCGGCGCUAACGCAUUAAGUACCCCGCCUGGGGAGUACGG
rnacentral:rRNA from 1 species